rnacentral:rRNA from 1 species
UACGUAGGGGGCAAGCGUUGUCCGGAAUCAUUGGGCGUAAAGCGCGUGUAGGCGGCUCGGUAAGUCUGCUGUGAAAGUCCAGGGCUCAACCCUGGGAUGCCGGUGGAUACUGUCGAGCUCGAGUCCGGAAGAGGCGAGUGGAAUUCCUGGUGUAGCGGUGAAAUGCGCAGAUAUCAGGAGGAACACCUAUGGCGAAGGCAGCUCGCUGGGACGUGACUGACGCUGAGGUGCGAAAGCGUGGGGAGCAAACAGG